CCUUACAUCCUAUCUCGGCUACACUAUACUGCAGCAUUUAAUUAUCGCUCUACUUAUCUUGGAGAAAUUCUAUUAUCUCUUAAAAUAUGGAUUCUUAAAAUCCCUCCUUAAAUUCCUUCUUCUUCGGAUUUUUCUUAAGGCCGCCUAUGGCGCCGCGGGGCGAAGCCGGUCGACCCUUCGUGUCUCAACAUGAAUAUUCUCCAUCUUUGGUAACUCAAAAUUUAUUCGGAAAUUAAUUAAUUUAUGAUCAAGCAUCCAAGCUUAAUUUCAUAAAUUAAUUCCUCUCCAACAAUAAUUAAUUUCCAAGUCCAUUAAUUUACUUGUCUAGCCCAUUCCAACAAAAAUCCCUCGGUCCAAAAUCCUCUCCAAAUGGCCCAUUCUCAAUUAAAUUCAAUGUGAGGCAGCCCGAUUGCUAAGCAAGAGGCCCAAACACCCAAACAUUAUACCUCCACUCCCAUCGGUCCCUUCUCCUCUAUCCAUCUCCCUAAAUUCCCAAAUUGAGCACACAAGGAGGCAGCGGCUUCUCCUUCAAGCUCCCCACCUCCGUCCGCCUUUCUCUUAAUUUCCGGCGAGUUCUCGCCCUAGGUGGCCUCGAUUCCCCAAACUGGACCCCUCUCCCUCAAAAUUUCGCUCCCUUGCCUUGGUCCUGCGGAGUCUUCCUCAAAGCGACGUCACCGGCACCGCGGUUGCCAUCUUCCGCCGCCUACUCCGGCGGCGCCCCCCUCCUUUGCGGACGCGCGUCGGAGUACUUCUUUCCCCCGUCGAUAGCUCUCUCACUCCUCAAAUUGAAGCUCCGCCGCCACCGUCGAUCCUCAAGAUCCAGUGCCGCCGCCUUCCUUCUUCGUGACAGAGGCUCGCACCGGCGCACCGGGCUCUCGCCCUCACUCCCGGCUGUGUAGAAAUUGCUGUUCGUCUGUUGGAGGUGGUGGGAGUUACCCCUCUCUCGGCCCCCGUAGCCUCGCCCCAGCAGCUGCUGCCUUGCGGAGGGUUCCCGGAGCUCCGCCGCUGCUCGUCCAUCGCCGGCGGCUCUGCUAUCUAAAGCUAAGUCCUCUCCCCCCUUUUCCCCGUUUGUUUCCUUGAUUACGGGUUACGACAGUAUUUGGUGAUUAGGGACUUUGUCGAGUUGUGAUCCAGUUUAAAUCUUGCUCCUUGGUUGUUAUUGUUAAAUGAGCAGUAGCUAUGUGAUAUAGGGAUCCUUGGUGUUGAGCUUGAUUGUGAUCUACUGUGGUUAAAGAGGCUAAGCCUAUGUGAUAAAGUUCAUGUUGUUGUGGUAUCUCAUCGUGUUCUAUGCUUGGCUAUCUACUGUUCUAUCGUGAUGCAAGAGUGUAAUUUCGGGUUACCUUGCUUGGUGACCUUUCUCGGUUGUGGACUGAUCUCUCGCCAUCCUCGCUCCUCUUCCCUCCCCUUCGUUGCACUUCUCGCGGUAGUGCAAUGUGAAACUUGUGGUGACCGAAAAGUGGGGGAGAAAAGGAGGGUUGUGGCUCCUUAUAUAGCUCUCAACUGUUGGCAGCUUGUGCCUGAAAACUUGGGGACAAAGUCUCUUAUUUUUGGCUGCCAGCUUGCUCCCUUUUGAGCUUUGUGAUUAUGUGAUUAUGCUAUAAUGGUGAAAUUCUUGGGAGAAAACAGCCCCUCCUUGGCUGUUUCUCAAGCCUCGAUAAGAGGGUUCCAUUCCUCCAUCCUUUUUGGCUUGUGGUUGGGUUCCCUUACCUUGUGGCAGCUGGGUUUGAUUCCCGAUUGAUGCAAGUUAAGAAGGGACAAUUGUGGCUGAUCUCACAGCUGAAAAUCGCAGCCUCUUGGCUGCCUAUUACUCCUACUAUCUUAAUUGAGCUUGUCUCUCCUCUUCCCCCUUAUGUGUUAAAAAUUUGACACCCUUUUUUGGUGUAAUUUUUGUAGGUGAGGUGGCUGCUCCUUGGAGCUACAUGGAGGGAGAAUCGAGAGGGAAGAGGAAGGAGAAAGGGGUCCCUUCUUGUAGCUACUUGGUUCUCAUACUAAAUUAGCCAACUCCUAGUCUUGCUUAUUAGAGUUGGUAGGAUGAAAAGUGUCAUGAGUGUUGUCUCUUUCACUUAUGUAACUAUGUACUAAUAGCAUCUCCAUUAUCCAUGAAGUUUUGUAUUUCCAUAUUGUACUUUUAAAUAAAAGCAUAUCUCAUACUUUUAUC